AAUUUACAUAAAAUCAAUUUUCUUUACUGCCGAUAAAUUUGAAGUAGAAUAGAAGACGUAUUCUCAACGAACAAAAAUAAAACUCUUCAAGUCCCUCAUCAUUCCCGUCCUGCUUUAUGGUGUAGAAGCGUGGACGAUGUCGACAUCCGAUGAGACGACACUAGGAGUUUUCGAGAGAAAGGUUUUGCGAAAGAUUUAUGGUCCCUUAAACAUUGGCAACGGCGAAUACCGCAGACUAUGGAACGAUAAUCUGUAUGAGUUUUACAACGAUAUUUACAUAGUUCAGCGAAUACAAUGAUAACGGCUGCGCUGUUUAAGUCAUGUUGUUCGAAAGCGCACCAGCUUUGAAAUUGUUCGAAGGAAGAACGAAGGGCGCGCUGUUGUAAACUCAGCUAUAACCGCGUAAAAGGUUAAGAAGAAUGGAAUAGUAUAAAUUACGUAUGAAACUUGGUUCGAGUCUAGCGAUUACCAACUUCCAUUCCAUCACUGGCUUAUGUAUGUGCUUACAAUUAAAAUGUGCGUAAAGGACAACAAAAACAUCGGUUUAGUUGUAAACCAUUUGAGUAAAAAAAAGAACAAAAACAUGUAAUAAAGGUGUAAUAAACUUGUAAUAAAAGCCAGUCAUAUACAUAUAUAUAUUCGCGUAUAUGAGUAUGUAUAUUUCUCAGAAGACAGACACAAAUCAAGAAGAAGCUAAAUAAUCUUAUAAUUACGCUAUAAAAGCUAAAUUUAUCCGUGUGUACACAGCAGUAAGUUCGUAAUGCGCUCGUGGGUGCCGCAAGCUGGUUCGAGUAUCUGCGAGUAUCUGCGUUCAGCAGUGGGAGCUGUAGCAAUAUAUCACCGAAAUGCAAAUAAAUAAUCAACUGAUUAAAAUUUGAAUUUA